UAAUCUAAACUAGUUUGGAUAGACGCAGUCAGGUCAUGGAUAUGUUAUGAGUGCUCUUACAGUCUAAUAACACGUCCAUGGGUCCGGUGCUUGCAGUGGGAGCGGUGGAGCAGCAAAGGAAAAGACGAAUGAAGGAAAUGAUCAGAGGGGAACUGGAUUUUUUUUUCAAAAGUCGGCUCGCUAGCAUUAGCUAAGAGCUAAGAGGACGAUGCUAACGUCGAAGAGGAGGAGGAAAGUAACGCGGCAGCAGUAACGUUACCUUCACCUGAGCAUCAACAUGACCCUGCAACACGCACCUGUACAACUGCCCCACCCUCACCUCCACCUGUGCCCGACGCCGGGUGGCAGAUGGCGGUGUGUCGUCUCAGCGCGGCGUAUGGCUGGCUGCCACAGCAACAGCUGCUGUCGCUCGCCUUCUGACUGACAUUGAUUGGCUGCUCGAAUCCUGUCAGACGAGCGAGGAAGCAGCUGUAAUUGGCUGCGACAUGAGAGCCGAGGGAGGCAGGUCGGGCUCUGUUCUCGGCGACCGGCACAAAGCUCUGGUUUUGGUCUCCACCAACCUCCUCAGGUGGAGGUGGUACCGGGCUCUGAUCUCUGUCUGCUGUUUGCUGGGACAACUGAGAGUGCUGACACUGAUCCAGAACUGUAAAGUCAUGGACCAUACAACAAAAACUGCUCCACACAGUGAAGGAGGGGAACUGCAAAAUGAUAUAUCUCCAUUAAACACGCUACAUAUGGCAAAAUAUUGUAUUUAUUUAUUCCAUAUUUUUAUGACUCUGACCCAGGAUCAUCAUCAUGUUUUUAUGUUCAGCAUGUACCUUGGCUGAUUUCCUAAUCCACAUCCCUCCACCAGCUCCCAGGCUGAAGCCAAGUCGACCGUCUGGAGCCAUUUUGUUGUCCUCUCCGACAGAAUUCAGCCGAAUACAGAUGGAGGGCAGGAAAAGGUCGAGAAAGGUCAGAACUCUUAUUGAGAAUGUGUGGGGGUGCAGAUGAUGCCAUUUGAUGUCCCACUCUUACAGCAUGUCAGUGGCAUUCCUGCUUCAGAUUUGUUUCUCAGAGACUGUCGGGAAGUUUAAUGAAAACUCUGGAAACUGUUAGUUGACACGUUUAGAGGUGUUUCAGCCCAGUAUUCAUCUCCAGGCCCUGAUCGCACCUGCUGUUAAUCUGAUCACAAGUGGAAGCCUCUGAGAUUCGAUCCCACACUCAGAAGUGGUCUGGGCCCCAGAGCACCACAGUCUGACCACUCAACUGACGUCCGCCACAGUUUCAGAAUGAACCAGAAAUAUUCC